UGAGUUGGGGAGACGGUCGCGGCUGGCAACAGCUGAGGAAAGUCCGGACUCCACAGGGCAUGACGCUGGGUAACACCCAGGCGGGGCGACCCGAUGGAAAGUGCAGCAGAAAGCAAACCGCCUGCUCUUGGGCUCUUGAGUCCGGAAGCCGGUAAGGGUGAAACGGUGGGGUAAGAGCCCACCAGCACAGCGGGUGACCGUUGUGGCUCGGUAAACCCCGUCAGGAGCAAGACCACGCAGGAACAGGGCUGCCCGUCCGCUACGUUCCGGGUAGGUCGCACGAGGCCGUGCGGUAACGCCGGUCCCAGAUAGAUGACCGUCCUCGACAGAAUCCGGCUUACACCCCAACUCACCUU
rnacentral:RNase_P_RNA from 1 species